GUGCUCGAUUCAGCAGCACAUAUACUAAAAUUGGAAGGAUACAGAGAAGAUUAGCAUGGCCCCUGCGCAAAGAUGACAUGCAGAUUCAUGAAGCGUUCCAUAUUUAA
rnacentral:snRNA from 1 species